GCCUGGGUGGCUCAGUUGGUUGAGCACUUGACUUUGGCUCAGGUCAUGGUCUCACGGUUCAUGAGUUCAAGCCUCAUAUCAGGCU
rfam:Felis catus isolate Cinnamon breed Abyssinian chromosome C2, whole genome shotgun sequence.